GACGUAGGGCGCGAGCGUUGUCCGGAAUUAUUGGGCGUAAAGGGCGCGUAGGCGGCCUGCUAAGUCGGAUGUGAAAUCCCUCGGCUCAACCGAGGAACUGCAUCCGAUACUGGCGGGCUUGAAUCCGGGAGAGGGAUGUGGAAUUCCAGGUGUAGCGGUGAAAUGCGUAGAUAUCUGGAGGAACACCGGUGGCGAAGGCGGCAUCCUGGACCGGUAUUGACGCUGAGGCGCGAAAGCUAGGGGAGCAAACUGG
rnacentral:rRNA from 1 species